GCUUACUUUGGCAACACAUACUAAAAUUGGAACAGCACAGAGAAGAUUAGCAUGGGCUCUGUGCGAGGAUGACACGCAAACUUGUGACGCAUUCCAUGCUUUU
ensembl:snRNA U6 U6 spliceosomal RNA